AGCAGGCUACAGUCCAUUGGGUUGUAAAGAGUUGGACACAAAGGAAGCAACUUAGCAUGCAUGCAAACUAAGUAUGACCAAUAGCGUGUCAUCAAAGACACAUCAGUCCCUAGAUGAAUUGUUAAAAAUACUGAAAUUAUGUGCUGGGUCCUAAAAGGGCAAAACCAUAUGACACAGGUUACUCUAAAAUAUAUACUUGUCACCUAGCUAUAUAGCUAUUGUAUAUUUAAUCUAAUACCAAUAUACUUUCUAUAAUGAACAUCAGUCAAAAAUUUGGUUACCUUUUGCCAGCUUAGAAUUUAGAAGAGUACAUUGGGGUUGAUUGAAGAUGACCUCCUAUCUUUACAGAAGUUGUUCGAAACAAUCUGAACUAAUGCUUUGUUUUUCUACGCCUCAUAAGAAACUGAGGCAUUUGGUAUUAUCCAUCUUAGGCUAGGUUUAGAAUUGGCAUAAGAAUUGAUAUUGGAGAUGGUUGUGAUGAUGUUUCCUCAAAAGAAAGGCAUUUGUUAGCAAGCAGCUAACAGCAGCAAAAAGGAAAAAAGUCCUUCAUGAUUAUUUAGAUCUCUUAAGUUCUUUGAAUUUUUAUUAGUAUGUGAUUGCCAAAUCAUAAAGUAUACUGUGUAAUUGUUAUCAGUGUGACAUCUUUUUUUUUUUUCCUCUAGCCUUCCCUGGUGGUUGUAGGAAAUCCUGGGGUCUCCUUGGGUCUGUGGCUGCCUUCUGGCCCUUCUGGUUCACGUCCUGCUUGCUUGGCAGGCCCGGUUGGGCCCCUUGGAACACGUCCACACCACAAGAGGAGAGUGGAGGGGCACUGACGCCUCCCCUCCCAGCACCCUUGUGUGGGGAGGCCCGAACAGGGCCUUAUUUUGUGCUCACAUUUUAUUUGUGUGCUGGUUUUACUUAUUUCAUAUCUGCAUUUCUUUGUGUGUAUAUUUUCACUAUCCUUGUCAUUUUUCAGUGCCUGUAUAGCAUUCUUUCCUGAUAAUACACCACACCAGUGUCCCACUAGGAUUGUUUUAAUUUUUCUUCAUAAUUAAUAGUAAUGUUAUGUACAUUUUUAUAUAGUCUUUUACAUUUUUUUUCACUUUAUAUUAUUCCCUUGGACCAAAUUUACCUAAAUGUAGUUAGCAGGUCCAAAAGUACAGCUGGAACCAUAACUCAUCUUAUUGUUAGACUGCUUUUCAGAAAGAUCAAAUUUGUAGGAUAGUCACUACUGUAGAGUUCAAAUGUAAUUCCCUACAUCUGGGCAACAUUGGAUUUUUAUCAUUUUAUUCCUUUUUUCUUCUCUGAAAGGUAUAUUGUGAUACAUUUGGGUUAUUCUAAUUUGCAUUUUAUUUCACUGCAUUGUUACUUUUAGUGCUUUCAUUUUAAAAAAAAAAUAUUUAAAUGGUUCUAUCUCUAAGGACUGUAGUUAACCAGCUCAUACAUUCUCAAUGUAUUUUGGCCAGCAGACUUUGAACUAUGGUAGGCACCUUUCCUCCCAUUCUGGUGUUCACCUUUUGACAUUUAGUUCAUUAGACAAAAGAGCAUUUUAAAAAAUGGACUGACUUUAUUUGAGACUACGAAUGCAGUGAUAUUAGGACAUAGUAGCUGUCAGAUGGCAUGCACACAUUCUCUCCUUCCAUUCUCGCCUCCGUCUUCCUGUUUUCUGCCUUUUUUGAGGGAGGAUAUUAGACUUCUUGCUAAAGUCAUAUGAAAAUACACUUGUUAUCCAAAGCCUAUCUCUGAGAAGGAUACUGGUCCCAUUGGUAAUAGAGAUUGCUUUGGGAGAGGUAAACCAGGCCAACAGCUGGGAGAGGAGAGGGAAACUUUUCACUGUAGCUUUUAUAACUUUUGAUUUCCAAACUGGAUUGCUGUUACUUUAAAAAAUUUUUAUUUUUUGGUAUUACUUUUUUUUGGUUGUUGUUGAUAUAUAUAUAUUUUUUAAAUUUAAAUUUAUUUCAAUUGGAGGCUAAUUACUUUACAAUAUUGUAUUGGUUCUGCCGCACAUCAACAUGAAGACAAAGGCUUAUGUAAGAUCAGUGCUUGUCAUUAUUGUGGAUCUUUAAAAGCUAACUUUAAAACUUAUGCUGCCAUGUGCGAUGAACUUCAGUAUGUAAGGGCAGAAAAUGAGAUGAAGGCAGCGCGAUUUAGGUAUAUGUGAUAUUUGGGCAGAACUGCCUGCCAUUCUAUUUACUAAACUUCACUUAACAUUUCUGGACUAUAGGUACAGCAUGAAGGAAAUUGACUUUCAUAGAAAUACUUCUCUUGGGCAUUAGUAUAAGGCUGAGACCUUCCACUGACCUAAAUUCCUGGAUAAAGCUGGGGUAUGAGAAUGACAGCCUUGGGAAGAAAGCAGGAGAAACCCAGUGAGGUCAGAUGCCUUGUCUAAGGUCACAUGGGUAGCCUGAUGAGCUAAUUCCACACAAGAAGGUAAUUUUCAACUCUUAACAGUACUGGUGUCCAUUUCAAAAUGUCCAGGCAAAAGCAGCUGUGCACUACAAAAGGCUAUCAUUUCUCACUCAGUUUGGGUGCAUUUUCAGUUGUCUGACCCCAAGUGAUCUGUUUGUUGUGUGAGCUAUACAGGACUCGUGUGGCCAAUAAAAGUCUCCAUUUGGACUCACUGUUCUAUACCACUUGUCUUGUGCAAAGGGCUCUUAAAGCAUCUAAUAGUUUAUGUUAACAAAACGAUUGUUGUAUCUGUAAGGACAGAAAUGAACAUUUAUCUUUGUUGCUGAUGCAUUGUGAGAAGAUGUCAUAAAAAGAAACAGAGCAAUAAAGCACAUACCUUAUUUCUAGUAAAAGACAUGGUUCUAGACCUCUUGCAAAUCCUCACUUUUUCUCUUUAGCAAUAUAACCUUAGGAACCUCAAGGAUCUAUGACUAAAACUAAGGUAGCAGAUAGCAAAUUUAACCCCAAAUAAAGGGGGGGAUAGUUUAGCUCUUCAGAUCAAUAAUGCAGUACUGGAAUGUGCUGAUAGUUUAAACAAAAUAAGAACCAAGAAAUUAAUAAGGAAAAAGCCAAAAUUUGCAAAGUUAAAGGCUUGAAUGGAGAGACCUUUUCUGAAAAAGUAAGACAAAGACUUAGUUACAGAAUUCAAGCAUAUACUGCAAGGCCACAUUCUGAAAUCUCGAGGGGAAGAAUAAAGCUUUGUUUUUGCAGUUUGCGGGUCUUGUUAAAAAUGUAGAUGCCUGAUCACCAUUUCCAGGUCCCCUUCAAGACACCCUGCUGCUGCUUUGAUCUGCUUUGUGGGCAGCACCAUGGACUUCACUUGGUUGGUACUGGUCACUCUGAAGAGAGAAAUGUACCUGGGUGUUCAUGGCCAUGACACAUGCCAAGGGCUAGGGAAUGACACGUCGUACCAUGAACGGAUUUUGAUUCCCCCAAAAUCCUAUUCGUGAAAAAGUAAGCUGUAAUGAGCCUGUCUUGGUCCAGAAGCCCCCUCUUUUUUGGUGGGUUUUCCUAAGCAGGUAUUGUAAUUUCAAAUUCAAUGUAAACUGUCCUUUGUGGGGAGCUUUACUACUUUGAGCACCUUAGCAUAGGGUGAGCCAUUUCUGCAUUUCUUCCUCCAAAAGCCCUUAUCAGAGCAAAAAUAGGUUAUCUGAACUGCUUCUCAGUGAAUUCCUCUAAUGUGUAGAAUGUAGGGGUUGGGAGGGGUGUCCCCAUCAAACUGAAGUCACAGAAGAAUGUGAUUUUACUCUUUGACUGGACAUGCUACUUGGAAACCUAAAUGGGAUCUUUUCUACUUAUCACUAAACUCUGCAGGCAGUUCCUGGUCAUUGCUUAGUUCUGAGAUGUGGCCCCUGUUUGGCAGGAAAAAGAAUAUGGGAUAGAGCCUCAAGACCUGUGAUGUUUGAGCCCUGGCUCGGCCACCUGCUGGCUGUGCCACCUCAGGCAGGUCAUUUGCCUCCAUUUUCUCCUCUCUGAGAGACAACUUCAAGACUUGCAAGGAAGCAUGAUCAGCUUACUGGAAAACUCAGUAUUCAUCAAUGUGAUGAACAAACUCUCUUUUUAAAUACAAUCUAAUUUAAAGGAAGAAAAGAAAUCAAUCCAACCUUCUGUAACCUUGGCACUUGGAUCUGUGGAACGCUCGUCAUCAAAGCUAAAGAAAAGAUACAAGACAUUUCAUUUUCUUUGUAUUUUAUAUGAAGGAAUGAAUAAUGAUUAAUGAAUAAUAAUGACUGUUAAAGAACCAUCUGUCCAAGUCUUUAUAUAGAUGUAAACCUGGCAUGGUAUGUCUGUGAGUUCUCAAAAUAAAAAUGACAGCUACACUGACUUUGGUUUAUAUGUUCCCACUUGUCUUAUGCAAUGAUACCAAUAGUUGAGAUUUGCCUGCAAUACUAAUUAUGUAUGUUGAGACAAGCGUGAGUGGAGAUAAAGCCAGUGGUGGGCCAGGAGUGGAUGUCCUAAAAUGGCAUCGGGUCAAAAAGAAACCUUAAUUUCAUGGUGCCAAGUGGAAAAGGAUAUAGUUGGAACAGGGUGGAUUUUCUUCCUUAUGCCCUAUUUCUCCCAUGAUACAAAGUGCUGCUGUUUCGAACUUAUGGUUAUCAGUGGGGAGGGUGGGGUGAAGGGAUGGUUAGGGAGUUUGGGAUGGACAUGUACACACUGCUGCAUUUAAAA